GAGCCCCAGGCUGCCUCUGUGGAUGGGGCUGGGCCAGUGAGGCUGAGGCCGGGCUGGAGGACGGCCCUGCUCUGGCUGUAGCUUCAGAGUUUGCCCACAGGAUUCACUGAUGAAGAACAAGCUUCCAAGAGAAAGAGGACAUCAGGGAUGGGAACCCUUGUAAGAAAAGGGGAAGACAGAACUGACACUAAGGAGCUCUCUCAGGCCCAUUUUGCAGGCCCAGUACAGAUGAGAGCCACCCUGCCCAGGAGGGAGCCACCCACGUAACAAAUGGAGUUCUGUGAAAUCCUGAUGAAUGGCUCUGGCUGCCAGGAAAACUCCAGGGCGAAGUCAAAUGUGAGUUCUCAAACCCUUGGAGGUAUUCCUUGGAUUUAUUACGUGCCUGAUAAAUUAUUGAACCAGAGUCCUUCAGUAUCUGUUCACAGAGACAGCAGGCCAGGGCUGGUGACUCCACCUUCACCCAGAGAUUCGCCUGCAGAGGUUUGAGGAUCCCCCUGGAAGGGCUCCUGCCAGGAGCUUGGGCUGGGAAUGCCAGGUCCCAGGCCUGCUUUCCCAGAGUCACACUGGAGAAGGCCCACGGGAAACCCCCAGCAGGAGGGUCCCAAAGCCUGGGAGAGCCUCCAACGGUGGCCCUCUGGGGCCUUCCAUCCACCUUGGCCUAGAAGUAAGGGCAUUUGCCCGGCCACCUCACCUGGCGGAAAGGGGUUCGGUUUCCCAGCUUCCUUUGGAAGCCCCAAAUCCAUGCCGCUGGGGCCCCCGAAUCCCUUGAUGACCCCUUCCAUCACUGCUGUGCUAGGAGCACUGCCCUGGGCUCAUCAGAAGAUGUUAGGAAGGGCGGUGGGAGGCCACGGCCAUGCGGAAAUGAUGGGCCAGUGUUUUUGUGGUGAUUUGUUGAGGUGCAGCUGGUUUCCACAUACAUCAUCUCCCCCAUCUGUGUGGCCCCCGGCACAGACCGCGUCCUUCCUGGGUUGGGGAGGUGCCUGGGGUGUGAGGCAGGUGGCCACACACUGGGGUCUGGGCUCCACCAAAGCCUAUGUUUAUGGCAGUCUGCUGGGGAGGUUCCGGCAAGAGGUCUCACCACCUGCCUUCUCCGAGAUCCCCAGGCCCAACUUCCACUGGCUCCUUAAAGCUCAGAAUCCCGAGUCCCGUAGCCCUGGCUUCUUGGGACAGUAGCCCACACCUCCGCUGCACCCUGCCCAGAGAGCAGAGUGGGGUCAGAGUCCGGGCUCAGCUCCUCUCCACUCCUGAGUUCCCCCAGUCCUCUCUCCUGCUCUGCACCCCUCUCUCCCCUUCCCUGCCAGGUGACACCCCAGCUCCUGCUGCCCUAGCUGCACCUAGACUUGGGCAGGAAGGCUGUCCCAGGACCGACUCAGGCUCAGAGGCUGUCGGAUGCCAACAAAUAGACAUUUCCUCCUGUCCACCGCUGACCCGCCGGCUCCUGUGCUCUCAUUAACCAGCAAGGCCUGGGGAUGCUCCUGGACUACCCUGGCAUCCGGAGCCCCAGGCCGGGGGGCUCAUUUCCCAGGGCCAGAGAAUGAGAGGCUGCAGAUAGGGGGGCAAGAGCCUACGGGGGCUGCAACGCUGACUCUGUCAGGCAGCGGGAGCUUGGGAGAUAGCCUGGGCUGGGGCUGCUGCCCAGGAACGGGGCCCCAGAAGCAGCACUGCCCUUUGUGCUGGUCCAGAAAUCCUGGCUGGGUCGGGUAGAAGAGAGUCUGCAGAAGCCAUGUAGAGUGUCACACACUGCCAAAUGCUGGGACAAAGCUUGAACAGAACGCAAGGACCCAAGUCAGGUGCUGAUGGAGACCCUCCCCUUCUCUGAGAAUCGGGGGUCACAGAGCCCUGCCUUCGGGGAGAGGCUUGGUACACUUGCCCACCUCAGGUCCGGAGCUCCAGCAUGCAGCUGAGAGUGAAGACGGCCUCGGCGCCGGGCCAGCACACUUCGGGAGGUUGACAUCAGCACAGACUCACACUGCUGCGCACCUGUUGAGCAGACCCAAGAAUAGCCUUUUUCAAGGAGCUGAGCUGCCCACGUGGUCACAGGCUGGGGGCGGGGGCGACGCGGGAGCUGGGGGCUCUGGCUGUGCCCAGCUUUCCAUUCUCCCAGGCUUCGCUUCUUCACCUGGGGAGGAAGGGGGUUCCCACCCAUCUUUCUGUGCCGAGCGGUGAGGGUCUGGCUGACAAGGGGGCGGUGCAUGAGCACAUGAGACUCUGGACUCGGGGCUCGGUCCUCACCCACCUGGGCAGGGGGCUGUCAGCCCCGCAGCGACCCAUCCUCCCGCAGCCUCGGCCGGGGCUCAUUCCACGGGCCUGACCCUGAGUUGACCCAGGUCCAAGGUGGGGACCAAGGCAGCCCCAGGACAAGCUCUUGGGCACCGAGCAGGUGCUGGGCUAACCAUGAGGCCCAUGGUGGGUGCUGGUAGAGUGGCCAGCCCCCCCAGACCUGUCUCUAACCCACCUUCCUCAGGCCUGGCCCCGUGACCCUCUCAGGACCUCUCUCUGAGUUAGAGGCAAAGAUGAGGGACAUUUGGGAGAACGGGGGCCCAGUGGAGUCUCCGAAGUGCCAGCCUCAUCCCCAGGAGCCGCCUGCUCCCAGCCAGCCAGCACCUCAUUCCCAGUGCUUUCUGGAGCUGUAAGGGGCAACUCCUCCUCUCCUCCCCCUCCCUUACCUCGAGGUGGGCUGCUGCCUGCCCCCACAGACACGGUCAGCCCCAGCUCUAGCCCUACCUGCCUGGGCUCUGUAAUGAGCAUACCAAGAAAUGUGUCAGAGGUAAACCUUAAAAACAUAACCAUGUGAGGCCAGGGUGGUGCAGAGCUGUAUCCCAGCGUUCAACAGGCUGAAGCAGGAGGAUCGUACAACCUGGGCUACAGAGUGAGACCACGUCUCAAAAAAAGUCACUUGUGCCCUGAUGACCAAACUGAGUGACCGACCUCCGAGGGUACUGCAGAGGCUUUGAUGCCCCUGGAGCUGGUUCCCAGCCCUCAGCCUCCUUCCUGAGCACCAGCGAGCCUGUAUUGACUGCUCAGACUACGCAUUGAUUGGCUGAAAGGUGAAACCCGAAAUAGUCCCCUUUCCGGUAAACAGGAAUUUUAAUUGUUUAGGCAGCUAAUCUCUGGUAUUGGUCACCUCCCAGGAAGCUGGGGGCCUUUGAUCUGUGCACAGCAGCAAGGACGGUCUCAGGACAGGUACAGGGUGGUGGGCGGUGGGAGGACAGGGGCAUGGCACCACCAGCGCUCUGUGCUGGCCAGCAGGAAGCUGUGGAUCUCUCUCCCAGGAGCCGGGGCCCCUCGGCCGGGGUGCCCAGAGCUUGCUCCCGGUCCUGCUGCUUCUUCCCGGUGACGCCUUAAGCAAACUGCUUGGCCCUGCCGUGCCUAACGUCCUCAUCUGAAAAGUCAAGUAACCACAGUGACCAUGCACCUGGCCGAAAGACUCAGGCAGCGCUCUUCUGGGAGUGCAGCUGGGGCUGGGUCUACAAGGGGGCCCCAUGCCCCAGAGCAGCCUCCAAGGCCCCUCACUAGAACCUGAGAAUUGACAAUUCUAUUUCUCAAGAUGUUUGAGCAAAAAGACCUCAGUCUUCCCCGUGCCAGUCCAGCCCCGAGCACUGCCGGUGUCUGGCGUGCUUGGAUCUGUCCUUCCAGUCCCAGCUCUGGGGGCAGGAGAGCAGCCCCGAGACUUCUUGGAGAUGGGUGGGGCCAGCUGCUGCAGAGCACAACUGCACCCGUGCACGCCUGGUGCACAGGAGAGCGGGGCACAGGCACGCCGGCCUCCUCCCUGAGGUCCCAGCGGGCCACAGUGACCGCAGGGGAAGAAUGGCCAUAGCCGGGGCAUCACGUGAUCCUGUGGGCCAGCAUGAGAACCCUGACUGUGUCCUAAGGGUGCAGGGCCCCCCUGAGCUCAAGGAGACCAGGAGGCAGAGCCCGUGAGAGGCCUCUGUCACCUGGCAGGGGGCCACGAGGACCUGAGGCGGAGGUGUGGAGAGACUGGCCAACAGGAGAGCCCUUCACUGCACUCCCAGCGGGGGAGCGGAGACUGUCCUGCUCCCAGCCCCGUCUCCACGGCCACUGAGGCCUGGGGCAGGAGCCUCGGCCUCCCCAGCUGACCCCCCGAGGUGCCAGGACCUGAAACAGAGAUGCACACGUCCCGCCCCGGACUCACAGAAGCCCAGAGCCCUGGGCUCCCAAAUGUGCCAAGAGCAUGGGGAGAGGUCCAACCUCCCAAACUCAUUAGGUCCUGGCUGACAUUUCUCCAAGAAAUAAUUAAUUUUGAUAUCACAAAGGGCAUUUCCCGGCGGCCAAGGUCAUCACAGGCCUGGCUGCAGCCUUCUGUCAGCAGCAGUCUCCCACUCAGCCCGGCUGCUUUGACGAAUGGGGUUUUAGACUUGACUGCAUAAUUGGAGGAAUGAAGAGGGGGCUAAAGCUGCUUUUCUUGCAGAAAUACCUACCGGUGCCGCAUCAGCUGCAAGCUGGCCCAGCUGCGGUUGGGCCACUGCAAGCAUGGGGGACAAGCUUGGAGACCUCCGGCUCCGAAAGACAGCCUGAGGAAGCAAGGCCAGGGACCCGUCAAGGUCACCUUGAGGGCUCCCCACAAACCUCCCUCAGCCCCAGUGGGAGCACAGUGGGAAGCUGGGGGUGCGUUCGCCAGCCAUGGGGCCUGGAUGGCAGCGGUCCCCGCACUCAGCGGCAGAUGGGAUGGCGCCAGAGCCGCCCUCAGGAGCUCUUGACUGUGAUGAGAGCACGUGUGCAAGGUGCUCCGAUGCUCCCUGGCCACAGCCGGUGUUGGGCACACAUAUGCGCAAGCCUAGGAGUGACUUGGCCCCCAUAAUGAAGAAGCCUCAUAAAGGCUUAAACCACAGGCUCUCCCAUGUCCCGGCUCUGGAGGCUGGAAGUCAGGUCGGGCGCUGGUGGAGCCGGCUCCUCUGAGGCUCCAUCACUCUGUGUGACUGCCUGGUGACCCCUCUCAGAGAGGCCAUCGCGUGGGAGCAGGGCUCCCCCAUGUGACCUCCCCUUCACUACAUCUGCAGAGAAUCUGUUUCCAAAGAAAGUCACAGCCUGAAGUCUUGGUCCAUGGCACUAGGAUAGAGUGCCGCUCUGUUACAGCGAAGUUCAUUACUAGGAAAACCCUGAAUCCAGACAUCUAUCACAGCUGCCCCCAUAAUGCCAACCUCCGAAGCAAGCACGCUGCCCUUCCGCAGAUGAGUGAACAUACACACUGUGGCACCCUCAGAGAGAGGGAUGUUAUACAGCAACAAAAAGAAACUAGUACUGUCACAAGCACACAUCUGUUAUCCCAGCACUCAUGAGUUCAAGGCCAGCCUG